GUAAUGCUCCCUCCGUUCGGAAAUACUUGUCAUUAAAAUGGAUGAAGAUGAUGUAUCUAGAACUAAAAUACAUCUAGAUACAUCCAUUUCAAUGACAAGUAUUUCCGAACGGAGGGAGUAUGAA
rfam:Triticum aestivum genome assembly, contig: Triticum_aestivum_CS42_TGACv1_scaffold_457941_5DS